rnacentral:rRNA from 1 species
CCUACGGGUGGCAGCAGUGGGGAAUAUUGCACAAUGGGCGCAAGCCUGAUGCAGCCAUGCCGCGUGUAUGAUGAAGGCCUUCGGGUUGUAAAGCACUUUCAGCGGGGAAGAAGGGUGUAAAGUUUAUACCUUUGCUCAUUGACGUUACCAGCAGAAGAAGCACCGGCUAACUCCGUGCCAGCAGCCGCGGUAAUACGGAGGGUGCGAGCGUUAAUCGGAAUUACUGGGCGUAAAGCGCGCGUAGGCGGUUUGUCAGGUCAGAGGUGAAAUCCCCGGGCUCAACCUGGGAACUGCAUUUGAUACUGGCAAGCUGGAGUGUCGGAGAGGGUGGUGGAAUUCCAGGUGUAGCGGUGAAAUGCGUAGAUAUCUGGAGGAACACCGGUGGCGAAGGCGGCCACCUGGACGACGACUGACGCUGAGGUGCGAAAGCGUGGGGAGCAAACAGGAUUAGAUACCCGAGUAGUC